GGCAUCAAUGACGCAGUUUAGCGAUAACUACAUUAUCAGCUAGGGCCAUCUAUAGGCAAAUUCCGGUUUCAUAUUUACAGUAUGUAUUGUGAUAUGUGAUAUGUAUGAAUAAACGUCGUACUCAAUAUGAUCUUGUUUUCGUGUUAUAGCCGUUUCUGUCUAUUUGUCAUUUUGUGGUGAAUUGAGAUAUUUCUUUAAUCACUGGAAAAUAUACUAUUUGAAAUAAUGAAUAAACAUCUAACGGCGAAUGUGGAAAAAUCAAAGAUGAUGAAGCUCAGGAAGAACACAGGAAGAAAGAGAAAAUUGAAGAAGUACUGGAAGAGAACAAGGAUGAAAAAGCAUCAAGGAGUUUACGUAUCUAAAUGUAUCACUGCAGAAGUAAAUGGAAGCAUGGUAAAGCAUGUAAAAGGAAGGAAAAACAAGGCGAAUGCGAUACUUAACCAGAUACAGAGGAACUGAGAAAAGAAAACUUGAAGAUGAUCUCAGAUUAAGAAUGUUCCUAUUUGAUGUGCUGGUGAUAGGAGUACUCAUGUAUGGUGUGAAACAGGAACAAAGAGAGUAUAACAGAUGAUAUAAAAUCUUAUUGCAUCUAUGAUAAUUGACCUUCUUCAUUUAACUAUUACUUGUACUUUUAGUUACUAACUUGUCAUAUUCUUGAGUUAUCAAACUGUAUUAUCCAUUGACGUCAUUGUUAUGCACAAGAGUAAGAAGUGAGAAAGUAAGAAAGAAAAUAUUUAUUAAAACCCUUUGGGUGCUGAAUACUCGCGGCCUAUGUCGUCCGUACGGACGGCGCGCGUC